GCAUAUAUAAGAUGGCUGCGGGCCGCAUAUCGUCCUUUCUUCCUGCUCCAGCCGUGUUCUUUGUAUGUUGUCGUUAUGUACUUCGUCCUCCUCACCUCCACAACUCGCCGCUCUCGGGACGUUUUCUCCGGUUGCUGCGCCCAAGACUGCGGGAUGCAGAACCUGCCGCGGAGAAGCCGGCCUUCUCCGUCUCGGCGGUGGAGGCCAACAAGGCGGCCACGAUGGCGGCUCGCGUAGUGGUAGUCAGCGGCCUGCAUACCGCGCCCUUUGACGGCUGUUCCGGAUGGAGCCUCCAUGAAGACAGAUGGGACUGAUGCUGUGCAGCACUAGGGCCUGGUUCUUCUCAAGGCUUUUAAUUGGGGACGUCAGCCUGUAUGCCUCUGCCCAGUCACUAAGGACCAUGUAACCAGUGAAGGGGUCAUCAUUUAUGAUCUCUACAGUUUGUUGGAAAAAAAAAACAAGAGGACUUCCCUGGAAGCAAGCAAGAAGCCUACACUGACAGUAAAGGAUACAAAGAGAAACCAUGUCUUGAAAAAAAGAAGUGAAAUUCUUUGGGAUUUAACAUGUAAUCAGGUCAAUAAAGACUUUUAAAAGUAUUUUCUCUGUAAUUUAAAAUGAUUAAACAAAACCACAGAGAAACCCUGUCUCAAAAAACCGAAAAUAAAAAAAAAAUAAAAUAAAAUGAUUAAA